rnacentral:rRNA from 1 species
UACGGGGGGGGCAAGCGUUGUCCGGAAUCAUUGGGCGUAAAGGGCGCGUAGGUGGCCCGGUCAGUCAGUGGUGAAAGCGCGGGGCUCAACUCCGCGUCGGCCAUUGAUACUGCUGGGCUUGAGCACUGUAGAGGCAGGCGGAAUUCCGGGUGUAGCGGUGGAAUGCGUAGAGAUCCGGAAGAACACCGGUGGCGAAGGCGGCCUGCUGGGCAGUAGCUGACACUGAGGCGCGACAGCGUGGGAGCAAACAGG